AUGUAUCUGGAUCUUCAUAGAAAAAAUCCAACUGAAACAAGAAGAAAGGAAAGAAACAAACCCACUCAGAGGAAUCAGAAAAUGUCAUCUGAGAUGAUGCUGUUUAUAUCUUGUCUAUCACAAGUUACACAGUUUGGUGGUAAGAACACAGAACCUGGCUUCUCCGCUGCUAUGGUAAUCAUUGCCUGUAAAAAACCAAAAUGAAACAAACGACUUUUCUCCUUGAACCCAUUAAAAAACGAAACAGCUUUGAGAUACUGCCUAAUUUAGGUGUAAGUGUUCACCCCAUAUACUUCAAGAGACAAUUAUGAUAAUUAUAAUAGCACAUUCAUUAUAUUCACAAACAUUUGUACCCACCAUGUGCCAGACACUGUAAGUCCUGGCAUGGCUCUUACCAUGGGGACUGAGGACAAUAGGUCCUUUCUACCAUGCUGUCGCUGGGAAUGUAGCUGCUGCUUCUCUUCCCCCAAUAUCCUUGCUCUGACCUCAGUCUGAGAUGAAAGGCAUUUAACCAGCACCUGAACAUGUGAAGGAGGAAAGCCUCUUCUCUUUUCCCAUGGCUCUUUGAUAAGAGAUGCACCAACCAUGGGGCUUCGGAGAAAGAGGGAGACCAUCAUCACAGGGAGAUACAAAGGUAAGGAGAGAGAAAAGAGGUUUCCUUGUGCUGAUGAUGGGGUGGAAGGGCAGUAAGACAGGAAACUUGAGAAAUGGAAAUUGCAGCAAGGAGCAGUCAAGAUAAGAAAUGUGUAAAAAAAAUGAAAUAGGAGGGAAAAAAGAUAGAUGGAAGCUGGGAAAGAGGGUGUGGGAGAGCUAGAACUAGAGAACGAGUGGUGAAUGACAAAGCAAUUGUGUUACUUCACUGUGUCUGGGUUGUGUGCUUCUCUUGGGGACCUGGGGCCUCUCAUUGUUUAAAGAUUUUAGUCCAGCUUGAGAUCCUGGGUCAGCUGCCCAGGCUCAUUUAUUUCUUUAUAAAAUGCAACCUAUCAAAGUUAGAAACUAAUGAAGAUUCUUCCCUUGGCAUACUAAGGCCAAGCUGGGCAUAGGGCAUGAUCUGGUUCCUGACCCACUCUCCAACCUCAUUGCCUCCCACUCACCCUUUUGCUAAGUCCACGCUGGGUUUCUUACUGUUUUUCAAUAUACCAAACAUUCUUCACCUAAUUUGGCCUUAACAUGAGUUGUCCUUUAAGCCUAGAAUGUUCUUUGGGCAGAUACUCACAUGUCUGUGUUCCUCAGUUUAUUCAGAUCUCUGCUCCUAAAAGCCUUCCCUGACAAACCUGUUGGAAAUAGCUUGCCUUAGCAAUCUUCAUGUCUAAACUGUGAUUUUUUCAUAUCACUAAUUAGCAUCUAAGUUCACACAUUUAUCCAUUGAUUCAUUCAAUCAUAUAUUUAUCUUUGUCUUUAGAAGAUAAGAUCCAUGUGUUCGGAGACAUUUCUCCACGAGUCCCUCGCACUUCUGCCUUUCUUGUGAACAGAGACGUCGCCUCUGUUACAGAUGAUCUCUUCUGGUACAUUUGUAUAGUAAAUACCCUUGAAAGUGGAGACAGCGUCUCUCUCCAGAGCAAAGACCAGGAAAGCUUAGUGACCAAUUAGAAAAUCUUUAGGUUCCCUAAACUCAGUGUUCCUCUCCUGUAAUACAACCCACUGCAUGUUCCACUGUCAACUGGUUCCACAUAUCCCGAUUCCCACAGGGUGAUGCCACUGCAAGAAGAGGCUUUUACUCUGCAUCCACGUAAAAUGUUGCAGGCUAACUUUUAGCUUGCAAGUAGGGAAAAUGCUUUAAGAGUAGAUACUCAGCUAUUUAAUUCUAUCUUGGUAAAGGUCCUUCCCACCCUUCCCACACUACUACCUAUGCUCAGAUUCCCUGUUUCUCUAUUAGCCACUAUUGGUGUCUAGAGCACAAUAAAUAGCAAAUGCCCUCAGUGAAGCA
rnacentral:lncRNA from 13 species